rnacentral:snRNA from 1 species
AUCAUCUCUCGGCCUUUUGGAUAAGAUUAAGUGUAGUAU